UACGUAGGGUGCGAGCGUUAAUCGGAAUUACUGGGCGUAAAGCGUGCGCAGACGGUCUGUUAAGACAGAUGUGAAAUCCCCGGGCUUAACCUGGGAACUGCAUUUGUGACUGGCAGGCUAGAGUAUGGCAGAGGGGGGUAGAAUUCCACGUGUAGCAGUGAAAUGCGUAGAGAUGUGGAGGAAUACCGAUGGCGAAGGCAGCCCCCUGGGCCAAUACUGACGCUCAUGCACGAAAGCGUGGGGAGCAAACAGG
rnacentral:rRNA from 1 species